GCCGAAGUGGUGGAAUUUGGUAGACACGCUGCUUUGAGGGGGCAGUGCGGGAAACCGCGUGCAGGUUCGAGUCCUGUCUUCGGCA
rnacentral:tRNA from 1 species